UGACGGUGCACGUGCCCACGUAAGCCGCACACAGACGCAGAGUCCUGUCAGCUUCCCAGGGCAGACGGGGACCAGAAACAGCCGCAGAGCUCCACGCUGAGGUCACGCAGGGUCAGAUGAUGCAGGUGCGGUGGAGGAGGAUCACACUAUGUGUGUGUGUGUGUGUGUGUGCUGCUGAAGAAGACAAUAGCAACACUGAGAUAUGACUCAAGGAAGAACUGAUUCAUCGCUCUGCCAAAUGACUUCGUGAGACAGGCAUUUACAGAUCCCAACACGAGGAUUGUUCCAAAAACUUAAUCAUGGUGCCUCCCAAGAGACCUCGUUUCUAAAGCAGCGCCACAAGUAUCCUGUUUG